AUCCUGGCUUAGGAUGAACGCUGGCGGCGUGCCUAACACAUGCAAGUCGAACGGGACUAUCAAGUGAUGUUUCGGACUGAACUUUUAGUUAGUGGCGGACGGGUGAGUAACGCGUGGACAACCUGGCCUCUCGACUGGGGGAUGGCAGCUGGAAACGGCUGGUAAUACCGCAUGCGUUCAAUGUGCCGCAUGACACAUUGAAGAAAGAUUUAUCGGUGAGAGAUGGGUCCGCGUCUGAUUAGCCAGUUGGCGGGUAACGCCACCAAAGCGACGAUCAGUAGCCGGCCUGAGAGGGCGGACGGCCACAUUGGGACUGAGACACGGCCCAGACUCCUACGGGAGGCAGCAGUGGGGGAUAUUGCACAAUGGGCGCAAGCCUGAUGCAGCGAACCGCCGCGUGAGUGAAGAAGUAUUUCGGUAUGUAAAGCUCUAUCAGCAGGGAAGAAAGGCCCGCAAGGGAGAUGACGGUACCUGACUAAGAAGCCCCGGCUAACUACGUGCCAGCCGCCGC
rnacentral:rRNA from 1 species